GGUAGAUUGGCCAAGCAGUCUAAGGCACUGGAUUUAGGCUCCAGUCUCUUCAGGGGCAUGGGUUCAAAUCUCACCACUGUCA
rnacentral:tRNA from 1 species